ensembl:lncRNA
CAGCUGCCAUGCCACGAGGACACUCAAGCAGCUUGAUGGAGAAGUCUACCUAGUGAGGAACUGAGGUCUCCUGCCAACAACCAGCAAGGAAUUGAGGCCUUCUGCCAACAGCUAUCUGUCUAACAGUGGAAUGAAUGGUGCCACCUGGAGCAGAAGCAGAGAGUUCCCUGUGUUCAACUAGGAGGACCCCCGCCUCUCAGGGAUACUGUAAAGGGAUGGGAAGCAAGAGCAGUGACAGUGGCCGCAAUGUGGGGUCGGGGAGGGUGAUGAGGAGAGAGUUUGAAGAUGAGCAGGAGGAAGAUGAUUCUACAAAAAAGAAAAUUUUGCCAUUGUCCUGUUUUGGGUCUGCUUCACACCUUUCCAUGGAAAAACCUGUUUAACCUGCUCAAAAAAAAAAAAAAAAAAAAAACAUUUGGAGCAAUUGGAAGUUAUGAGUAAGGGUUGUGUUGCUUUUCUGCUCGACCUCCACUCCUGCAGCACUGAACAAUUCAAUCUCUCUUUCCCCAGCUUACCUGUGGCAUGUGGGGCCUGCUCGGCUUGAAUAAAUGGCUGUUUAUGGAUGAUAACAUCUGGAACCUAGCUCAAAACCACUUCUCUGCCAGAAGUGCUCUCCAGGAAUUCUGGCCCGUGAAUAUCCUUCUUACUCAGUUAUUUUACGAUGUGAACAACUCCAUCUUGAAAUAAAUUGAACUGGGGAAAACUGGAAGUCUGGACUCUAGAGAGGUGUCUCCAGAGAGACAUGAAGAAUGACGGAGACACAGAGACCUCAGAAAAAAUUAGACAAUAUGGACACUAUGCUUCCUCAACGGGAAUUUUCUAAGGACUUAAAAACCAGUCCUUUGUCACUUCAAGUCAAGCUAUUGAUAUAGCUUUGGGCUUGUGGAUGUGUUAUUCAUGUUCUUGCUCAUCCCAUGGAAGUUGUGAAAUAAGGAAUAAACAUCAAUUCACAAGAAGAAUAAUGGCUGAUGAUCUGGUGGAUGAGCAGCUGAGCAACUGUGAUGCGCGCCAAAAGAGUCAAAAGUCAACUCUUCUUAAAGCACCACCAUCCACAUUAAUAUGACAGACCAGAAUAACUCUGAGGGAGCCAUUAUGAUCCAUUACGAAAAUAACAUUCAUUUGCAAAAUGAGGAACAUACCAAAAUGCAAGUGGUUCCAGUUCUUUCAGCUAAAUUACACAUUAAGCAAGCAGACUUCCUCUUCCAACAUUUUGAAACGGUUUAAUAUGCACUCGGGCUGGCCAGGGCCUAGAUUUUCUAAGACCGCCCCAAAGGUGAAGCCUCGAAAAAUGAGGACUGAUUGAUUGCCAGAGAGUCAGUCAGCCCCGCUGGUGUGUUGGUCAGGUGAAGCAUGACUGUGCUUUGAAAUUUCUCCUAGGGGACAGGAAUGAUACCACGUAGGAGCUGUGAAUCCCAGCUGGCUUCAUCCAAGAGCUUAUUGGCUGCUCCCCUCCAGUGGUUUGUUGGUUAGAACUCGGGGAUGAAGUGUAGUGGACGUUUGUUGUCUUUGCCUUUCGAGCAUUCAUUCAUACCUUCUUCUCAUAACAGUUCCUUGAAUUUCCUUUGGGAGGCUUCCCUUCCCUAUUCUUGGCCCAUGUAAUAAAAGCUAAGAAUGACAGCUAACGUGCAUUAAACUCUCAUCAUGUGCCAGGCACUGGUCGAACCAUCUUACAUUAACUCAUUUAAUCCUUAUACUAAC